rnacentral:rRNA from 1 species
CACAUGCAAGUCGAGCGCACCUUCGGGUGAGCGGCGGACGGGUUAGUAACGCGUGGGAACGUACCCAGAUCUAAGGAAUAGCCACUGGAAACGGUGAGUAAUACCUUAUACGCCCUUCGGGGGAAAGAUUUAUCGGAUUUGGAUCGGCCCGCGUUAGAUUAGGUAGUUGGUGGGGUAAUGGCCUACCAAGCCUACGAUCUAUAGCUGGUUUUAGAGGAUGAUCAGCAACACUGGGACUGAGACACGGCCCAGACUCCUACGGGAGGCAGCAGUGGGGAAUCUUAGACAAUGGGGGCAACCCUGAUCUAGCCAUGCCGCGUGAGUGAAGAAGGUCUUAGGAUCGUAAAGCUCUUUCGCCAGGGAUGAUAAUGACAGUACCUGGUAAAGAAACCCCGGCUAACUCCGUGCCAGCAGCCGCGGUAAUACGGAGGGGGUUAGCGUUGUUCGGAAUUACUGGGCGUAAAGCGCGCGUAGGCGGAUCAGAAAGUUGGGGGUGAAAUCCCAGGGCUCAACCCUGGAACUGCCUCCAAAACUCCUGGUCUUGAGUUCGAGAGAGGUGAGUGGAACUCCGAGUGUAGAGGUGAAAUUCGUAGAUAUUCGGAAGAACACCAGUGGCGAAGGCGGCUCACUGGCUCGAUACUGACGCUGAGGUGCGAAAGUGUGGGGAGCAAACAGGAUUAGAUACCCUGGUAGUCCACACCGUAAACGAUGAAUGCCAGUCGUCGGGUAGUAUACUAUUCGGUGACACACCUAACGGAUUAAGCAUUCCGCCUGGGGAGUACGGUCGCAAGAUUAAAACU